GUCUCCAGUCUCCACCAGAAGGUCUCCAGUCUCCACCAGAAGGUCUCUAGUCUCCACCAGAAGGUCUCCAGUCUCCACCAGAAGGUCUCUAGUCUCCAGUAGAAGGUCUCUAGUCUCCACCAGAAGGUCUCUAGUCCCCAGUAGAAGGUCUCCAGUCUCCAGUAGAAGGUCUCCAGUCUCCAGUAGAAGGUCUCUAGUCUCCAGUAGAAGGUCUCCAGUCUCCACCAGAAGGUCUCUAGUCUCCAGUAGAAGGUCUCUAGUCUCCACCAGAAGGUCUCUAGUCCCCAGUAGAAGGUCUCCAGUCUCCACCAGAAGGUCUCUAGUCUCCAGUAGAAGGACUCCAGUCUCUAGUCUCCAGUAGAAGGUGUUCAGCAGGUGGUCUCCAGGGUCUCCAGGGUGCCGCGGCCCAAGAUCACCCGGUCAGUUCCGUUCUGUGAGGGGCAUCCCAGGAGCAGGGAGCAACAACCAGGAGCCCCAGACCACAGACUGCAGCUCCCGAGUCAGAGGAGCUAACCCGUCAUUGUCCCUGAGCACUUAAACACCGCCUGGGGAGAAGUGGGCGGGGAGACAGCCCCAAAUGAAAGGAUUAAUGAGUACCUGCAGGGCAGCGGCCACCCGAUGUAAUCGCCCCCCCAACCCCAGCCGGUGUUUAGCGGUGGUGGAGUGGAGGGAGCGGACAGACGGCUGAAUAUCAGCUUUGAUGUUCCUGCUGAAGAACUGAACCAGAGAUAUAAACCAUAACAACCACACCUGUUACACCUGAACAGAUCUAGCAGUAGAAGAACCGACGGUAGCAACACUCUGCCAGAGACCUUCAGACCCCCAGUCUCAGAGGAUGCAUCGCGGGGGCGGUUUUCGGCUUCCAGGAGAUAUGCCGUCUCUGCUUCACAAAGCUAAGCUUUGAUUUAAUUCAUUUCCAUGAGUUGAUAGCUGGUAUCAAGUGUAAUGGGACAACAUGGAGGCUGGCUGACGCCGUGGGGGUACACUGUCCAGGUGGGACCCGCCUGGGACCAGGGCCCGGGAGGAGGAGAACCUCAGGGUACCAGAGGGCUGGUUCUUGUCUCCACGGUCUCUCAGAGCUCAGGGUACCAGAGGGCUGGUUCUGGUGUCUCCACGGUCUCUCUCUGGAGCUGUAACGCUGGCAGAGGUCACACUUUAUAUGUGAACUAAAACAUGGCCUCUCUUCCCGGGACAGUCCCUCUUCCCUUCUUUCCAAAGGAAGAGCAAUGACCAAACAUGGGCAUUCUCGCUCCUGUCCGUCUUCCUCUGGAACCUAACCUGUGGCUGGGACCCUCGCUGGGGGACCUUUAAACCAGUGAUACCAUCAGUGGAGGCUCAUCCAUCCUGUUCCAAACUGACCUGAAGAACUCCCAUGUAGAUUUGAAAUGUGUACAAUGUACACUUUAUUCUGUAUUUAGAAUCAUGGUGAAGGAUUCACAAGCCUUCACAGUCUGUAU
ensembl:lncRNA